GACGAACGCUGGCGGCGUGCUUAACACAUGCAAGUCGAACGGAAAGGCCCUGCUUUUGUGGGGCGCUCGAGUGCCGAACGGGUGAGUAUCACGUGUGUAUCCUGUCCUUGACUUUGGGAUAACUUCUGGAAACUGGGGCUCAUACCGGAUAGGAGCUCCUGCUGCAUGGUGGGGGAUGGAAAGUUUCGGCGGUUGGGGAUGGACUCGCGGCUUAUCGGCUUGUUGGUGGGGUUGUGGAUUACCAAGGCUUUGAGGGGUAGCCGGCCUGGGAGGGUGACCGGCCACAAGGCGACUGAGAGACGCCGCAGUCGCGUACGGUCGGCAGCAGGCGGGAGUAUUGCGCAGCGAGGGGAAGUGUGAUACGACAAUCCUGCGUGCGGAAAAAUGUCUUACUGGUGGUAAACCGCUGUGUACGUUGAUGAAGCGUGAUUGACGGUAAUGGGUAAAGAAGCACCGGCUAACUACGUG
rnacentral:rRNA from 1 species